UGUAAACAUCCCCGACUGGAAGCUGUAAAAUAACAUCUGAGCUUUCAGUCAGAUGUUUGCU
rnacentral:pre_miRNA from 1 species